UACGGAGGAUGCGAGCGUUAUCCGGAUUUAUUGGGUUUAAAGGGUGCGUAGGCGGAUCGGUAAGUCGGCGGUGAAAUACCAUGGCUCAACUAUGGAAUUGCCGUUGAUACUGUCGGUCUUGAAUAUGGUCAAGGUAGGCGGAAUGUGUAAUGUAGCGGUGAAAUGCUUAGAUAUUACACAGAACACCGAUUGCGAAGGCAGCUUGCUGGGCCAGAAUUGACGCUGAGGCACGAAAGCGUGGGGAUCGAACAGG
rnacentral:rRNA from 1 species